GAGGCGGCCGGGGCAGCGGCGGCGGCGGCGGCUGGAGGCGGAGGCAGCGGAGAAGGAGGAGGUGCCCAGGCACUCCCCCUCCCAUUGUCCCCAGGCCCGGCCCCGCGCCCCGCACCGCGCCCCGCGCCCCCGGCCGCGCAGCCAGCCCUUACCUUGCAGCGGCCGGCUCUCCCCCGCUCGCUAAAGCUACUUAUCCCAGGAAAGCUCGCGCGGGGCCCGGGAGCGAACCCACAGACAAAAAGUGAAACUUCGGCAGGGCUGGAGCGGCUGCUGGUUGGUGCCUUUCCCCCUCCUUCCUCCCCACCGUCCCCACCCCCUCCCCUCGGUCUCCCGUGCGGUGCCCUGAGAGCUGGAGGCUGACGUCAGGGGCCUGAAUUCCUGACUUUGCCUGCACGCAUUUGUCCAUGUAAGGGCGCCAGAUAAGGGGGCUGAAUCUGAGCAGACGAGAUCCUGCCGUUGAAUCCCCUUCCGAGAUCUUCCUCGUGAGCCCCGCCCCGGAUUCCCAGCAAGGUUCAGAGCUGGCCCAGACCAACUUCCAAGCCGUCCACUUCACACAUGGGAAAACUGGAGCUCUCGGAAGAGAAAUGACUCUUACAAGGUCAUGCCCGCCACAGAUCCAGGCGCGGGACCCGGAUGCUCGGCCUCCCAGCUGUGUUCCUGUCUCCAGGCAGAGCCCUGACUCCCUCCUUCCCGCGGAGCAGUGAACCAGGCUAGAUGUCAGCGGGCAACGAGGACCACCCUGGGAAGAGAUUCAGAGCUUCCCUGGGCCCCGGAGGGAGUCAGUUCCUGGAAGGUUCUAAUUGCCAGUGAGCCCUGGAUAGCCAUGCCAAUCAGUUGCUUCAGGGCAACUCCCUCUAUCCGGUGCUCAAAUAAACGAAACCCUGGAGUUCACUUCACAGCCCUGCCGGAAGCCCAGAAAGCUUAUUCUGUGCUUACAGCUUCAAAAAAAAAUCUGCGAACUGGGUGAACGGGUUUGAAUAAAGGCAAAGGAAGAUGCAGAAGGUAAAAGGCCUGGGCAUUUAAAUAAAAUCGAAUAACUUCCUCAAGAGAUGAAGACUGGAUGUAAGCAGACCAGUGGGAAGGGAGAGGAAGAAUCAACAGGGCCUGGCCACUUGGAAACAGAAGCAGGAUGGGCAUGGGGAGGCAAAGGAGAGGAAGGUGUGUUUGAUCUGCUCCUGUCAAACGUACAGCUCUUCACAGUGAGCUCCGUAUCUUCUUCAUUCCUCCUCCCCAGCAGCCAUGACAACACCUGGGACUUACGCUCAAAUGUUACCCAGUGCGUGCGUGCGUGCGUGAACCCUUCGUCUCGGCUAGAAGAGCAACACAGUUGAUAUCGUCUCUCUGGAAGACUGGUCAUGUUAUCUUAGCCCAUGACUCUGGGCAGGUACCAGGAGGGAUGAGGGAGAGGGGGAGGAUUUAAUAUUUGUCAUUUGUUACAAUGUGCCCUGUGUGUGAGAUUCUAGAGAAACCGUGCACCUCAGAUUGGGACUUGAACCCACAUGCUGGGACUCGAACCCAGCCAAAACCCAGACUGGGACUUGAACCCACGCAGCCAGGACUCAAACCCAGCCGAAACCCACAGUCUUCCAACUGAGAUCACCAACUGGUUUCAGGACUUAGUGAAGCUCAGGCUCUUGAUGUCUCAUCACAGAAAGAAUUCAGUGAGAGACAAAGUGAUAGGUAAGAAAUGGAUUUAUUUAGGGAGAAACACUCCACAGACAGAGCGUGGGCCAUCUCAGAAGGUGAGAAAGGCACCAGGGUAUGGGGUUGUCAGUUUUUACAGGAGUGGUUAAUUUAAUAGGCAAAUGAAUGGGAGAAGUAUUCCAGCUAUUUCAGAAAGGGGCAGGGAUUUCCAGGAAUUGGGCCACCACCCACUUUUUUUUAAAUUAAUUAAUUAAUUUAUUUAUUUAUUUAUUUUUGGCUGGGUUGGAUCUUUGUUGCUGCCCGAGGGCUUUCUCUAGUUGUGGAGAGCGGGGGCUACUCUUCGUUGCGGUGCGCGGGCUUCUCACUGCAGUGGCUUCUCUUGUUGCGGAGCACGGGCUCUAGGCGUGCGGGCUUCAGUAGUUGUGGCUCGUGGGCUCAGUAGUUGUGGCUCGCAGGCUCUAGAGUGCAGGCUCAGUAGUUGUGGCGCACGGGCUUAGUUGCUCCGCGGCAUGUGGGAUCUUCCCGGACCAGGGCUCGAACCCGUGUCCCCUGCAUUGGCAGGCGGAUUCUUAACCACUGCGCCACCAGGGAAGCCCCGCACCACCCACUUUUUGAUCCUUAUGGUCAGUCUUGGGACUGUCAUGGAGCCUGUGGGUGUGUCAUUUAGCUUGCUCAUGUGUUACAGUGAGCGUAUACUGAGGCUCAAGACCUAAUGGAAAUCGACUUGUCCGCCAUCUUGGACCCAUUUGGUUCAAAUCAGCUUACGUUAUGUCCUCGGGCUAUGUCAUUCUUUCAAAGGUUGUGCCCUGCCCCCUUCCCUCCUGUUUCACUAGGUCUUCUCACAUUUAGCAUAUAUCAGUUUUACAGAUUAUCUAAGGAUAUAGUUCUGCUCUGGGAGUAGACACAGAAUUAAAGCAAUGGUUGCUUUGCAACUUUAUAUCAAAUAAAUUCUUUAAAAAAAUACUAAAGGUCAACUUUUUCCAGGAAGAAUUAAGCACAAGUGACAGUUUAAAUAUUUAAUGUGUCCUGCUCUAUAGCUGAGCUUAAUUCUCUUCUCAAGACUAUUGUACCAGCCUGUGAUGCAAACAAGACCUCUGACCAGAUCAGAUAAGCAUCAGCCUUUUGUAAAGAGAUGAAAACUUGUAUGGUAAACAAUAGUGGUAGACUUUUAUUAAAUGCAGUAUUUAAGAUAAUGAAGUCUAUUACAAAAGGUCUCUUUACUCUGUAUUCUUCACAUCUCAUUGUACAAUGGGAAAAAAUUAUCUCCAUGUAAAAAAGGAAUAGAUUAUCAGACUUCCUAAAUGAAUAUUUUCUCCCUGUUUUGAGAGGGAGAAAAGACUUGGUUUUUUCUUGAGGGCAAAAUGGUGUCACAAGCUACUUUCUUUAUUGGUUUUGAGAAAUCAAGCCAAUGUGGACAAAUGAUAGUUUGUAUCGGCCCAUGAAUUUCUGCACAAUUUUACCCAGCUUUGCAGCCCAGUUUUCAGCCAGAGGCUGUAAUCAUUGUUUGCAUUUUAUCAGAUCGCAGGAUCAGAUUAUCUGAAUGCAUUCUGGCCCAUCCCAACUCACCCCUUGCACAAGUCUGCUGGCUUUUGACCUCAGGUAAGCCCAGAACAUAGGAGAGCUGUGACCACGCCUGGAAGCCAGUGAAACUUCAAAGGUCAGGCAGUCUAGUCUGACAGGGGGCCGGUCUGUGGUAGUAGAAAUGUUGAUGGAUGGAGCUUUAAUCCCUCUUGGGUCCACUACCAAUGAAAAGUUUCAGAGAGACUCAAACACAAAGGGAGACAGUUUAUGCCACCUUUUUAUUUUAACAAGUAUAUAAUAUGCACUUGCUAACUGUACUAGACCUAGGAAUAGUGUUGAGAAAAAUAGACACAAUGCCAGUUCUACAUGUUAAAAUAAAGAUCAAACAGGAUAGCAACUCCAAGGGAAGGAGUGGGUGAGAUAGUUCGGCUGAGAUCUCCUAAUGGACCCCUGGAUGGACUGGACCUGCUACUUCAGCCAGGAGCCUCUUUUGAUAGUGAUGGAGCAGGCAAGGAUGAGCCUGGAGACAACCCCCAGGGCCCGUUGAAGGAACACAAACAUGGAGCACACAUCUUUGUCCUCACAAAACAGCAAGAGGUAGACGAUAAUGUCCAGAGGUUUGACGUCUGCAGCCUUGGUCUUGGUGGCCUCUCUGCUUCCUUUAGGAAGCUUUGUAGAGCUGUAUGACUUCUGAAGAGGGUCUGCUCGUUCUUGAUGAUCUGCGUAUCUGGGGAUAUGCUUUAGGAUGUAGUUUGCCUCAUUCGUGGCUGUGAUACACAGCCUCACCCACUCUUAGGGAAUCACAGCAGAUUAUCAGGGCAGGAGAGAGAAUCUCUGCCCAACAGUAGGGAUUUGAUUAGAUUUAUAUUUCCAACUACACUUUUAGGUGAAUGAAAAGAGGUCCAUGAUAUAUAUUUUGACAGCUUAAUUGCGGUAUAAUUUAUAUACCAUAAAAUUCAUUCAUUUUAAGCAUACAAGUGAUUUUACAUAACUUUAUGGAAUUGUAUAACCAUCACUGCACUCUAAUAUUAGGACAGUUUCAUCAUCCCCCAAAGAAACCUUGCACCCAUUUACAGUCAUUCCCCACUUCUGCCUGCAGCCUCAGGCAACCACUAAUCUACUUUCUGUCUCUAUAGAUUUGCAUAUUCUGGACAUUUCAUGUAAAUGGAAUCAUAAAUUGUGCGGCUUUGCAUCUGACUUCUUUCACUUAGCAUAAUGUUUUCGAAGUUCAUCCAUGUUAUAGCAUGUAUUAAUGGUUUUUGUUCUUUUUUAUGGCCUAAUACUAAUCUAUUGGAUGGAUAUACCAUAUUCUGUUUAUCCAUUAUCAGUUGUUGAAUAUUUAGAUUAGUUCAACUUUGGAGCUAUUAUGAAUGACACUGCUAUGAAUGUAUCAUGUAAAACUCUCUGUGUGGUCAUGUAUUUUCAUUUAUCUUGAGUACACGAUGUUUUAAAGUGGAAAAAAAAAAAGGAUAGGCAUA